rnacentral:rRNA from 1 species
GGCAGGGCGGGUGCCUAAUACAUGCAGUCGAGCGAACCGAUUAAGAGCUUGCUCUUAAGAAGUUAGCGGCGGACGGGUGAGUAACACGUAGGUAACCUGCCUAUAAGACUGGGAUAACUCCGGGAAACCGGGGCUAAUACCGGAUAACAUUUUGCACCGCAUGGUGCGAAAUUGAAAGGCGGCUUCGGCUGUCACUUAUAGAUGGACCUGCGGCGCAUUAGCUAGUUGGUGAGGUAACGGCUCACCAAGGCGACGAUGCGUAGCCGACCUGAGAGGGUGAUCGGCCACACUGGGACUGAGACACGGCCCAGACUCCUACGGGAGGCAGCAGUAGGGAAUCUUCCGCAAUGGACGAAAGUCUGACGGAGCAACGCCGCGUGAGCGAUGAAGGCCUUCGGGUCGUAAAGCUCUGUUGUUAGGGAAGAACAAGUGCUAGUUGAAUAAGCUGGCACCUUGACGGUACCUAACCAGAAAGCCACGGCUAACUACGUGCCAGCAGCCGCGGUAAUACGUAGGUGGCAAGCGUUAUCCGGAAUUAUUGGGCGUAAAGCGCGCGCAGGUGGUUUCUUAAGUCUGAUGUGAAAGCCCACGGCUCAACCGUGGAGGGUCAUUGGAAACUGGGAGACUUGAGUGCAGAAGAGGAAGUGGAAUUCCAUGUGUAGCGGUGAAAUGCGUAGAGAUAUGGAGGAACACCAGUGGCGAAGGCGACUUUCUGGUCUGCAACUGACACUGAGGCGCGAAAGCGUGGGGAGCAAACAGGAUUAGAUACCCUGGUAGUCCACGCCGUAAACGAUGAGUGCUAAGUGUUAGAGGGUUUCCGCCCUUUAGUGCUGAAGUUAACGCAUUAAGCACUCCGCCUGGGGAGUACGGCCGCAAGGCUGAAACUCAAAGGAAUUGACGGGGGCCCGCACAAGCUGUGGAGCAUGUGUUUAAUUCGAAGCAACGCGAGAACCUUACCAGUCUUGACAUCCUCUGAACACCUAGAGAUAGGGCUUCCCCUUCGGGGCAGAGUGACAGUGUGCAUGAUUGUCGUCAAGCUCGUGAUCGUGAAGAUGUUUGGGUUAAGU